rnacentral:rRNA from 1 species
AUUGAACGCUGGCGGCAUGCCUUACACAUGCAAGUCGAACGGCAGCAUGAUCUAGCUUGCUAGAUUGAUGGCGAGUGGCGAACGGGUGAGUAAUACAUCGGAACGUGCCCUGUAGUGGGGGAUAACUAGUCGAAAGAUUAGCUAAUACCGCAUACGACCUGAGGGUGAAAGUGGGGGACCGCAAGGCCUCAUGCUAUAGGAGCGGCCGAUGUCUGAUUAGGUAGUUGGUGGGGUAAAGGCCCACCAAGGCGACGAUCAGUAGCUGGUCUGAAGGCACGAUCAGCCACACUGGACCUUAGGAACGGCCCAGACUCCUACGGGAGGCAGCAGUGAGGAAUUUUGGACAAUGGGGGCAACCCUGAUCCAGCAAUGCCGCGUGUGUGAAGAAGGCCUUCGGGUUGUAAAGCACUUUUGUCCGGAAAGAAAUCGCACUUACUAAUAUUAGGUGUGGAUGACGGUACCGGAAGAAUAAGGACCGGCUAACUACGUGCCAGCCGCCGCAGUAA